GCGGGCGAGGCUCUGGCUCAGCUCACGUCUGUUUUCCUUUUUCGUGCAUUAUUUAUUUCGCCUCCGCCCGCGGCCCUGCUGUCCGAGCCGCCGCUCCGGGCCGGCGCCUCUCGCCGCUGCCUUCCGCGGGCCGGCGGAAGGCGCGGAGAGCUCGGGCACCCCGCGCCCCGGGCAGCCGCGCGGCGCCACCCGCAAGGGCGGGGACCCGGGCGGCGCGGGGAGCCGCCACCGGCUCGAGGGGGCUCGCGCGGUCGGCUCCCGGCGGCUUGGAGGCGACUUUCCCCUCCCUCCGCCCCCGCUUCGGCCCUGGGCGCCGGGUGCCGCCCCCCCACCCUCGCCCCGCGCGCGGCCAGGCGCAGCCCGGAACCACCGCGCCCUGCGCCCCGUGCGAGCGCGCCGCGCCCGGGGCCCCAGCUCAGCAGCCCUGGAGGCCCAAGCGGCGCGCAAACUUUUGCUCCAGUGCCGGGCGCUCCUGCUAGGCAUGUGAAGCCCCCAGGCGCCCGCGCAGCCGCCAGGUUCGCCCCACCAGUGGGCGCCACGGGCCGAGAUGCUCCUCCGGGACCUGGUGCUGCGCCGAGGCUGCUGCUGGCCCUCGCUGCUGUUGCACUGCGCGCUCCACCCGCUCUGGGGCUUCGUGCAGGUAACGCACGGCGAGCCCCAGAAGUCCUGCUCCAAGGUGACAGACAGUUGCCAACACAUCUGCCAGUGUCGGCCCCCACCUCCGCUGCCCCCACCACCCCCGCCCCCACCGCCUCCCAGACUCCUCUCUGCCCCAGUUCCCAACUCUACCUCGUGCCCCGAUGAGGAGAGCUGGUGGUCGGGGCUGGUGAUCCUCAUUGCCGUCUGCUGUGCCGCCCUGGUGUUCCUGACCGUGCUUGUCAUCAUUUGCUACAAAGCCAUAAAAAGGAACCAUGCCAUUUAGGGAGCCCUCCGUGCCCAUCUCUGUCUGGACUGGGGUGGACAUGCUUCUCCUUGGUUUGCCCAGAUCCAGGCUGGGUCCUAGCAUCACCCUGUAGCCCUUCCGGACCCUCUGGGACACCUGUUAGGAAACCACUGAGGAAGGAUGGGAAGGGCACCAGCGUGGCCGAGUAUCCCAUGAGCGCCUCGCCCAGCAGCAAAGGGGUGGAUGCGAACAGUGCUGUGGUGUGAGCCUGUCCGGGGCCACACCCGCUGGCCGGAGGGACACCUUGGUGGUACUAGUGGACAUGGGAAGGCAAGUGGACACAAGCUGACCCCAGGCUUGCCCAGGACCUCACUGUCUUGCAGGCCUGGAGCCCUCUAAAGGAGAAAGCACCCCCUCCCCUGGCCACCCCCUGGCCAGCCCACAGGCAGGGGCAGCACCGUGGGUGUCAGGCAGAGCCUGGCCCCCUGCAAGCAGCGCCUGGGCAGUGUCACACCUGCGGCUUCCACUCCUCCUCUUCUGUUUGGUCCCCUGACUGUCCCCCAGCUACUACCUGAAGCAUGCACUCCACUGAAGGCAGUUGAUCUGUCUGCCUACUGGGUUGGUGAGGUGCCACCACUUUAGCCAAAAGAGAGAUGAUCCAAGAUCCACUCCUGGCCCCCGAGCCCCUCCUCUUCUGGGAAGCCCACCUGCGUCUCUGUGAACAUCCCAACAGAAGCCAUCGACACAGCCAUGAGACAAACAUCCCCUUUCAAAGGUGCUUCCCACACAUCUGUCCUCAGCCCUCCUGGAUUGUCUUCAGUCUUCCGGGCCUGCCUCCACCCUCUGUCCCCAGCCAUGCCUGGGUCCUGGGCUCCUGCCUGCUGCCGUGGGGUGGUGGGCCCCACCUGCAGAUCCCCUGGGAGCAGGUGAUGAGUCACAGGAGCCGAGGCCAGGCAAGGCGCAAGCCCCUGCACCAGUUCCCAGCCCCCCACAGGGCCUCCCAGGACCCGAGCCCCUGUAUGAGCCAGGCCUUGCCUCAUGUGCCACAUGUGCCAGAUCCUCUGGGUGCUUCAGAGUUCCCUGAGGCCUGACCGUGGUACCCAGAGCCUCUCCUGAGAGUCCCCGGAAAAAGGUGUUUUUCUUUCCAGUUUCUCCCUGCAAAUGUCUGUUCUGAGGUCCAGUCCUCUGAGAGAGUCUGGGAAGAAAGGGGAGGGAAGGGAGGGAGCCUCCAGGCACAGGGACCCCUAGUCCACUGACUGCUCCAAGGUGGCCGCCUGCCCCGUGGGGUGCAUCACUACACCCUUGGAGACCUUGUUAGGAGAACAAGUUGGGAGAACACGCGUGACCCCGUGGCCACCCUCAUCACCCCCACACACUUGCUCAGAAGCCGCUGGUCAUGUUCAAUGGCUGCACCCUCUGGCCUUGUAGGGACUGAACUGGUUGGACCUACUUUGCCACCUAAGCCACCACUGAGCUUCUCUGGCCGGUGUUUGGGCUACAGGUGAGACUUUCAAAUCCAGGUAAGACUGACAGCCAUGAAAACCAGCCCCCAUUUGGGCUGAAACGUCCAUUAUCCUGGAGGCCAUGUGUCCCUGGAGCUGUGUGCCACUGUCCUGCCCCAGGCCCGUGGGCACAGGCCGUGGGCAUGCCCUCGCAUGGGGGCUAUGUCUUCCUUCCCUUUUCUUCUGCUUGAGGACUUGGCUUGGGUUUGGACCUAGAUUUCACCUCCCCAGCACACCUUGACUUUGGCACAGGACCACCCACGGCCACCAUCAUGUCUGCCCCUGCCCAGUGCUCUGGGGAUGCAGUACCUGGUGACAAGCAGACCAGAGGAAUAGGGAUAGGGGAGGUGGGAAACCCAGCAGAUCUCCCAGAGCGCAUCCCCAUGGCCUGCACUUCCUGCUGCGUGCAAGCUGCUGGUGCCCAAAGUAGAUACCUGUGCAGGUGGGCCCCUAAACACAUGCCAUCUGGCCUUGGCUAGUCAGAAGCUCCAGAGCCAUCAGAGGCACCUUUGGCUGCAAGGAGACCUGUGGCUGAGGGGUCCUGGAAUGUGGUCAGCCCAGGGAGGUUGGGCAUGGCCCAGCUUUCCACGCCCACCAGGUCCCACUGUCCAACUUUGGCUUAGCCCUAGCCCAGAUUUGACCAUUGGCCUGUAGGAACCAUGGCUGAGCUGUCCACUGCACUUGGCCUCUGAGACAUCCAGGGCUCCAGUGUACAUACAAGCACCCUCAGCUGAGCUUGGGAGAUCCCUUCCUUCCCAGGUAGGAAGAGCCAAGGGAGGAACCCUGUUUUCAAAAAGGGUUCACUGGAGAACAGCCCCCAACCCAGGGCUGGCCACUCAGAGGACACAUGGUGCAGAGGGACAGGCCCACCGGAAACUUAGUUCACAAGGCUGAAGCAAACAAAAGGGCGCAUGAGCCUAGAAUGUUUAUAUUCAAAAUGAAUCUGCUGCGCUCAACACAGGCCCUUCUCAGGGGAAGCCGAGCUCCAAGGCCAAGAACGAGAUGCCCAACCCUGUGCAGUUUGUCAGAUGCGUUCAGCUGUCCAGUCUCAUCCGGGAGCCCAACUUUAGAACCCAAUAGCAUUUAGGAUCCGCCGGAGUCAUCAGGUGUUCCUAAGAGGCUUCUAAAGGAAGCUUUGGAAGAAAGGCUAAUAGGUGUAAAAAUAUAGACAUAUAUGUUAUAUAUAGUUAUAUAUAUUUAAAGAGAUAUCUAUACAUAUAUAAAUAUAUAUAUAUAUAUACAAAAUCACUGUACUCUCAGCAUCUGUACAAAGUAUGAUUUAAACAGCCCAGGUAGCGUGAGACCCGCAAUGCAUGAAUGUAAAUAUCCUGAAAUCUGCCUUUUUAGCAAUGUGCCGUGUGUGCAGGAGAGAGGACUUGUCCCUCAGGGUUCUGUCUCAAUGGACACGCGCAGGUUGAUGCCAUCUUGUCCACCAACAAGCCAUAAUGUCAAUUUCAUGCUGAGACUUCUGUACAGGAGGAGGGACCAGCAGCCUUGGGGGGUGUACUAUAUGCUGCUUAUGAGGAAGGAAGCACCAUGACUUUUUUAUUUUCAUUAAAAAUAUACUU